GCCCCCAUAGCUCAAUCGGAUAGAGCAUCGGAUUUCUAAUCCGAGGGUUGGAGGUUCGAUCCCUCCUGGGGGCA
rnacentral:tRNA from 1 species